rnacentral:lncRNA from 1 species
GGGUAGGCAAGGGACAGCGAUGAGCUGGGAGCUGCUGUUGUGGCUGCUGGCGCUGUGCGCGCUGAUCCUGCCCCUUGUGCAGCUCUUGCGCUUUUUGCGGGCGGAUGCGGACCUGACCUUGUUGUGGGCUGAAUGGCAAGGGCGACGCCCAGGUGAGCAUCCUCUACAGCCUGGGCUCUAAGGAAGAUCAGGGCCGAGGUCCCUCCCAGCUGUUGCCAAGCUGAGCCUUGACCAAGGGCUGAGGGUCCGGGAGGAAGAGGCAGGGGCUAAACAGGCAGUACCCACUCUGUCGCUUGUCUUAAUUCGAAAAUGGCCCUGAUUUGUUACCCAGACUAGGAUAGAAAACGUCAAACCCCAAGAGAGCGCUGCAAUUCUCUGAUGCCUGCAAGACACAGACUUCUUCCGUAGGAUCCCCGGACACUCUCAGGGAAGGCACCAUGGAGAGCAGAGUGUGUCCCUUGCUUUCUAAGAGGCCGGAACAUUCUUUGAUCCUGCACUUUUUACUUUCCCGGAAGCACCCAAAGAAAAUUUGGCCUGAAUCACUUACUCACCUGCUCACUUGGUUAAAAUUUUCGCAAUAGAAAGCGCUGAGCUGGCUUUUUGCCAGGAGGGAGAUCAUUCUGUGUACAGUAAGGCACGUUUCGCCCGCUCCACUUCGAUCUGCAGCUUGCGUGGUGUUUAAUGUUCACUUAAUACAUGAUUCACAUGCUCCGAUAUAUCAGUUCACAGAUGCUGCUGGGUGUUAUGUCACGUUGGCAGUGUGUUCAGCAGGCCACAGACAGCCUCUGACCUUUGGCGUUAACAAUUCUGAUGACAUGGGCACUCUUCGUAUUGUUUUUCAGUUAAAGACAUUGACAGAGAAACUCAAAGCCUCCCUAGGUAGGCUUUUCUGAUCCUUAAAGGACUAAGUGGGAUUCCACUGUUCGUGGUGGAAAAUACACAAAGCACCCGAACAAAAAUGCUUUGAAGUAGCUGGUGGCUCAGAAGGUACUGCAUUCAAAGUCAGCAGGGCAGGAGUAGGUGACAGCUGGAUCUUGGAUUUUAUGUCCCUCCCAGAUGUUGGCAGGCAUCCUUGCUGUCUUUUCUCUGAAGCUGCAUUGCCUUGGCUCAAACAGUUGCAGUACUGACAAAUGCAACUGCACAGUGUGCUUGUGGAUUCAGCGCUGCAAAACAGGAGAGGGCAUGGCUGUGACUCGGAGACUGUCAGUGUUGAGGGCAAGAAUCCUAAAUACCCCAUACAUCUUUUAACUGUAACUCUCCACUGAGCACCAUUGAGACAGAUGGAUGUAUCUGUAAGCUCACGGUCAAUAGCAGCCUGUGGAUGUUGUUUGUGUUUGGCCUCAUUUAUUUAAAUGGAAGAUUGAGUUAAACUCAGUUUAUAAAUUAUGUGACUGUAUAAAAGUUAUUAACACAUUAAUUAUGUCUGAAAUGUAGGUGUGUUUAGUCUUUUUUUUGCGGUGUAAUUUUUUUAUUACAUAUAUUCUUCAUUUACAUUUCAAAUGCUAUCCCCAAAGUCCCCUAUACCCUCCCUCCGCCCUGCUCCCCACCCAACUCACCCACUCUCCUGCUUCCUGGCCCUGGCAUUCCCCUGCACUGGGGCAUAUGAUCUUCGCAAGACCAAGGGCCUCUCCUCCUAUUGCUGGCCAACUAGGCCAUCCUCUGCUACCUAUGUAGCUAGAGACACAGCUCUGGGGGGGGGGUACUGAUUAGUUUAUAUUGUUGUUCUACCUAUAGGGUUGCAGACCCCUUCAGCUCCUUGAGUACUUUCUCUAGCUCCUUCAUUAGGGGCCCUGUGUUCCAUCCAAUAGCUGACUGUGAGCAUCCACUUAUGUAUUUGCCAGGCACUGGCAUAGCCUCACAAGAGAGAGCUAUAUCAGGGUCCUGUCAGCAAAAUCUUUCUGGCAUAUGCUGUAGUGUCUGGGUUUGGUGGUUGUAUAUGGGAUGGAUUCCCGUGUGGGGCAAUCUCUGGAUGGUCCUUCCUUCCGUCUCAGCUCUGAACUUUGUCUCUGUAACUCCUUCCAUGGGUAUAGAGAAGACAGGACGUAGGGAGGGUGUGGCCUCUGUCUCGCGCUGGAGAGAAGCAGCUUCCACAUCGUGUGAGGGAUGAGGCAGAGAGUGGUGCAAGGCCUUGGGAGAGAUUUCUCAAGCUGGCAUUAAACUCUGGGUUUCUUGUCAACUCUCAGAGUCUGAUUUUUUUUUUUUAAGUCGUUGUCAGAUUCUAUGGAAACAC